ACCUGGUUGAUCCUGCCAGUAGUCAUAUGCUUGUCUAAAAGAUUAAGCCAUGCAUGUGUAAGUUUAAGUGCUUUACAGCGAAACUGCGGACGGCUCAUUAAAUCAGUUAUAGUUUAUUUGAUAAUAGAAGUUACAUGGAUAACUGCAGUAAUUCUGGAGCUAAUACAUGAACGUAGCCUUCGGGCGUCUUUGUGAGGAGAGCACAUACUCUGUUGACUCAUUACAACCUAACGGAUCGCAUGGCCUUGAGCCGGCGACGAUUCAUUCAAAUUUCUGCCCUAUCAAGUUUCGAUGGUAGUGUAGUGGACUACCAUGCUUGCAACGGGUGACGGGGAAUUAGGGUUCGAUUCCGGAGAAGGAGCCUUAAAAACGGCUACUACUUCCAAGGAAGGCAGCAGGCGCGCAAAUUACCCAAUAGUAACACACUGAGGUAGUGACAAUAAAUAACAAUACUGGUCCUUUCAAAGGACUAGUAAUUGGAAUGAGUACAAUUUAAAUCUGUUAACGAGGAACCAUUGGAGGACAAGUCAGGUGCCAGCACCCGCGGUAAUUCCUGCUCCAAUAGCAUAUACUAAAGUUGUUGCAGUUAAAAAGCUCGUAGUUGGAUCGAAGGUCGAGAUUGGGAUGGUCUGCCGGGUUGGUGUGUACUGCCCUCUCUCACCGUAAUUUGCCUUGUUGUACGCUGGUGACCUUAACUGGUCGCUUGCUAUGACUAGGUCGUGUACUUUGAAAAAAUUAGAGUGUUCAAAACAGGCAUUUGCUUGAAUAGAUUAGCAUGGGAUACUAAAAUACGACACGAAGCACUCGUGCUGGUGUUAGUGUAAUGACCAAUAGGAAUUAUUGGGGAUGUUCAUAUUUACUAGUCAGAGGUGAAAUUCUUGGAUUUAGGAAAGAUGUACUUAUGCGAAAGCAUUCAUCAAGGAUGUUUUCAUUGAUCAAGAACGAAAGUUAGGGGAUCGAAGACGAUCAGAUACCGUCGUAGUCUUAACUAUAAACGAUACCGACUGAUAAUUGAAGGAUGUUUUCAAGGUGACGCCUCCAGCGAUCUAGAGAAAUUAAAGUCUUUGGGUUCUGGGGGGAGUAUGGUCGCAAGGCUGAAACUUAAAGGAAUUGACGGAAAGGCACACCAGGAGUGGAGCCUGCGGCUUAAUUUGACUCAACACGGGAAAACUCACUAGGUCCAGACAUUUGUAUGAUUGACAGAUUAAUAGCUCUUUCUUGAUUAGAUGGGUGGUGGUGCAUGGCCGUUCUUAGUUGGUGGAGUGAUUUGUCUGGUUAAUUCCGAUAACGAACGAGACUAGAUUGGGAUUGUGGGGUUUACCUCAUGGUUCCUUGGUGUGGAUCCUGGGUUAAUUGGUUUAUGCUUCUUAGAAGGACUAUCGACGGUAAGUCGAUGGAGGUUUCUAGCAAUAACAGGUCUGUGAUGCCCUUAGAUGUCCUAGGCUGCACGCGCGCUACACUGUAAGAAGAUAGAAAGUUACUUUCAUAAGUUCCUUACUCGAUAGAGUUGGGUAAUCUGCAUAUUCUUACGUGCUGGGGAUUGAUAAUUGUAAUUAUUUGUCAUCAACGAGGAAUUCCUAGUAAUCGCAGUUCACGAGACUGCGCUGAUUACGUCCCUGCCUUUUGUACACACCGCCCGUCGCUCCUACCGAUUGAAUGAUCCGGUGAGGAGCAAAGAUUUUUUUCUGAGGUGGGAAACCAACAAAGUGAAAGAGAAUUGCUUCAAACCUUAUUAUUUAGAGGAAGGAGAAGUCGUAACAAG
rnacentral:rRNA from 1 species